rnacentral:rRNA from 1 species
UGCGCAAUGGGGGGAACCCUGACGCAGCGACGCCGCGUGGGGGACGAAGCUCUUUGGAGUGUAAAACCUUGUCACCGGKGACGAAGGCGGUUCAAUCGAACAGGUUGAACAGCUUGACGGUAGCCGGAGAGGAAGCCCCGGCUAWCUCCGUGCCAGCAGCCGCGGUAACACGGGGGGGGCGAGCGUUAUUCGGAAUUACUGGGCGUAAAGGGCGCGUAGGCGGCCUGCUAAGUGUGGAGUGAAAUCCCCGGKCUCAACUCGGGACGUGCUUUGCAUACUGGUGGACUGGAGUCCGAGAGAGGGUGGUGGAAUUCCUGGUGUAGGGGUGAAAUCCGAAGAUAUCAGGAGGAACACCGKUGGCGAAGGCGGCCACCUGKAUCGGUCUGACGCUGAGGCGCGAAAGCGUGGGGAGCSAACAGGAUUAKAUACCCUGGUASUCCACGCCGUAAACGAUGGYCACUUGGUGUUGGGGUGUCUUAACCACUUCAAUGCCGGAGCUWACGCAUUAAGUGACCCGACUGSGSAGUACGGGCGSAAGGYUG